rnacentral:rRNA from 1 species
GUGAGACUGCGGACGGCUCAGUACAUCAGUUAUAGUUUAUUCGAUUGUGAAAUCCACAUGGAUAACCGUGGAAAAUCUAGAGCUAAUACAUGCGAAAAAUGACCCAGUUACUCCGGUAGUUGGGUUGUGCAUUUAUUAGAUUAGAACCAAUUGGUGUUGCGGUUUUUCCGUGACACUAUUAUGGUGAGUCUGGAUAACUGUGCCGAUCGUAUGGCCUUGAGCCGGCGACGUUUCGAUUAAAUUUCUGCCCUAUCAACUUGUUGGUAAGGUCGUGGCUUACCAAGGUGAUAACGGGUAACGGGGAAUCAGGGUUCGAUUCCGGAGAGGGAGCCUGAGAAACGGCUACCACAUCCAAGGACGGCAGCAGGCGCGCAAAUUACCCAAUCCAGACACUGGGAGGUGGUGACGAGAAAUACCAGGUCGUUCCCAAAAGGAUUCGACACUGGAAUGAGUACAGAAUAAAUAAUUGUUCGAGUAACAACUGGAGGGCAAGUCUGGUGCCAGCAGCCGCGGUAAUUCCAGCUCCAGCAGUGUAUUCUAACGUUGCUGCGGUUAAAACGCUCGUAGUUGGACAAGAGAGUGAUUUGGUGCGGGCGGGGAGUGUAAUUACUCUGUACUUGCACUCAGUUCAUUCAGCGUGUUGCCUUGGUAGCACGUCUGUUGAAUUGGGCUGUGGUACAGUUGUAGCACUCGUCAACCAUGCUGCCAGGUCACUCAUAUUAUUUCGUGAGAAUGGCGUAUGGCCUUCAUUGUGCUGUACGUUGUGUCUUACGUAGUGUGCCUUGAAUAAAUCAGAGUGCUCAAAGCAAGCUGUCGCUUGAAUGUUAAUAGCAUGGAACGAAUGUUUUGUGGAUGUGUGCAUGUGGUGUAUUUCGGUACAUUGUGUGUGCAUAGCGCCAACCACGAAGCGGAACAUUGGUUGCCGACUUCGGGUGAGGAUUAAGAGGGGCAUUUGGGGGCAUUAGUAUUUGGCCGCGAGAGGUGAAAUUCUUGGACCGGCCAAGGACUAACAAGUGCGAAAGCAUUUGCCAAGUAUGUUCCCUUUAAUCAAGAACGAAAGUGAGAGGUUCGAAGACGAUCAGAUACCGUCCUAGUUCUCACCGUAAACGAUGCCAACCCGGGAUCAGUUCGGAUGUAUUUAUAUUGGAUCCAGGUUGGUCCCCCUGGGAAACCUUGAGUUUUUAGGUUCCGGGGGGAGUAUGGUUGCAAGGCUGAAACUUAAAGGAAUUGACGGAAGGGCACCACCAGGAGUGGAGCCUGCGGCUUAAUUUGACUCAACACGGGAAAACUCACCUGGUCCGGACAUCGAUAGGAUUGACAGACUAAUAGAUCUUUCAUGAUACGGUGGGUGGUGGUGCAUGGCCGUUCUUAGUUCGUGGAGCGAUCUGUCAGGUUUAUUCCGGUAACGAACGAGAUCACGUUCUUCAUUUAGGGAGCUGCAUUCAUUCUUUAGAUGUGUUACGGUUUCGGCCGUCACACGCUAAACAUGACUGUGGUGUGCGUGCAGCAAUGUGCGCCCCUAUGGAGAGACAGCCGGAUUGUAAGCCGGAGGAAGCGUGGCAAUAACAGGUCUGUGAUGCCCUAAGAUGUCCUGG